GAUGAACGCUGGCGGCGUGCCUAAUACAUGCAAGUCGAGCGAACAGACGAGGAGCUUGCUCCUCUGACGUUAGCGGCGGACGGGUGAGUAACACGUGGAUAACCUACCUAUAAGACUGGGAUAACUUCGGGAAACCGGAGCUAAUACCGGAUAAUAUAUUGAACCGCAUGGUUCAAUAGUGAAAGACGGUUUUGCUGUCACUUAUAGAUGGAUCCGCGCCGCAUUAGCUAGUUGGUAAGGUAACGGCUUACCAAGGCAACGAUGCGUAGCCGACCUGAGAGGGUGAUCGGCCACACUGGAACUGAGACACGGUCCAGACUCCUACGGGAGGCAGCAGUAGGGAAUCUUCCGCAAAGGGCGAAAGCCUGACGGAGCAACGCCGCGUGAGUGAUCAAGGUCUUCGGAUCGUAAAACUCUGUUAUUAGGGAAGAACAAAUGUGUAAGUAACUAUGCACGUCUUGACGGUACCUAAUCAGAAAGCCACGGCUAACUACGUG
rnacentral:rRNA from 1 species